AGCUGGUCCGAGUGCAGUGGUGUUUGCAAUUAAUUGAUCACAGCCAGUUACAGAUUUCUUUGUUCCUUCUCCAUUCCCACUGCUUCACCUGACUAGAAAA
ensembl:misc_RNA Y_RNA Y RNA